rnacentral:rRNA from 1 species
AGAGUUUGAUCCUGGCUCAGAGCUAACGUUGGCGGCGUGCCUAACACAUGCAAGUCGAACGCGUCUUGGGGGGCAACUCCCGAGAUGAGUGGCAGACGGGUGAGUAACACGUGGGUCAUCUUCCCUCGAGUGUGGAAUAAGCUCCCGAAAGGGGGUCUAAUACCGCAUGACACUCCGGGACAUAAGUCCUUGGGUCAAAGCCGCAAGGCGCUUGAGGAUGAGCCUGCGUCCUAUUAGCUAGUUGGUAGGGUAAUGGCCUACCAAGGCGAAGAUGGGUAGCCGGCCUGAGAGGGUGAACGGCCACACUGGGACUGAGACACGGCCCAGACUCCUACGGGAGGCAGCAGUGAGGAAUUUUGCGCAAUGGGGGAAACCCUGACGCAGCGACGCCGCGUGGAGGACGAAGGCCUUCGGGUCGUAAACUCCUGUCAGAGGUGAAGAAUGCCCGCAAGGGUUUGACGGUAACCUCAAAGGAAGCCCCGGCCAACUACGUGCCAGCAGCCGCGGUAAUACGUAGGGGGCAAACGUUGCUCGGAAUUACUGGGCGUAAAGGGUGUGUAGGCGGCUGAGCAAGUCAACGAUGAAAUCCCGAGGCUUAACUUCGGAACUGUCUUUGAAACUGCUUAGCUUGAGGAUAGUUGAAGAGAAUGGAAUUCCCGGUGGAGCGGUGAAAUGCGUAGAUAUCGGGAGGAACACCUGAGGCGAAGGCGAUUCUCUAAGCUACUCCUGACGCUGAAACACGAAAGCUAGGGGAGCAAACGGGAUUAGAUACCCCGGUAGUCCUAGCCGUAAACGAUGGACGCUAGAUAUUCCUGCGCUUAUGUGGGAGUGUCGAAGCUAACGCGUUAAGCGUCCCGCCUGGGGAGUACGGUCGCAAGGCUGAAAC